UGGGUAGACAUGAGCAAUCAGAAUCGAUAUAAUGCAUCCUUCAUUUCAGUACCUCCUAGGUCACCCAUCUCUGGCUUCAACAUACAAAACUUGUGUCAGAUACUCUUCAUGGUUAAGGUAUUCCCACAUGGUACAGAGAAGAACUUUCAAAAAGAUUAUGGAAUUUGGGCACCAACAUCAUUUCCAACCAUGAAGUUUUCCUAUGUAAACCACCUGGAAAAAGCCCCAGAUGUAGUGUGAAUUUCUUCAGGAUCUAAAAGAAGAGGAACUUUAGAGAUGAAGUUCCCACUGUGUUUCAUUAUUUUAAUUGUUGUAGUUACUGUAAGAAAUACUAUUAUUAGCCCAC
rnacentral:lncRNA from 1 species